AGCGAACGCUGGCGGCAGGCCUAACACAUGCAAGUCGAACGAAGCCUUCGGGCUUAGUGGCGGACGGGUGAGUAACACGUGGGAACGUACCUUUUGGUUCGGAACAACUCAGGGAAACUUGAGCUAAUACCGGAUGAGCCCUUAGGGGGAAAGAUUUAUCGCCGAAAGAGCGGCCCGCGUUAGAUUAGCUAGUUGGUGAGGUAAAGGCUCACCAAGGCAACGAUCUAUAGCUGGUCUGAGAGGAUGAUCAGCUACACUGGGACUGAGACACGGCCCAGACUCCUACGGGAGGCAGCAGUGGGGAAUCUUGCGCAAUGGGCGAAAGCCUGACGCAGCCAUGCCGCGUGAAUGAUGAAGGUCUUAGGAUUGUAAAAUUCUUUUACCAGGGACGAUAAUGACGGUACUUGGAGAAAAAGCCCCGGCUAACUUCGUGCCAGCCGCCGCCGUAAUAC
rnacentral:rRNA from 1 species